rfam:Picea glauca, whole genome shotgun sequence.
AGGUGUGAUCAAACCAACGUUAAUGCAUCGGAUCCCAUCAGAACUUUACAGUUAAGCAUGCUUGGGCUAGAGUAGUACUGGGAUGGGUGACCUCCCGGGAAGUCCUAGUGUUGCACCCU